rnacentral:rRNA from 1 species
AUUACUCCUACGGGAGGCAGCAGUGGGGAAUAUUGGACAAUGGGCGCAAGCCUGAUCCAGCCAUGCCGCGUGGAUGAUGAAGGCCCUAGGGUUGUAAAAUCCUUUCGUUGGGGACGAUAAUGACGGUACCCAAAGAAGAAGCUCCGGCUAACUUCGUGCCAGCAGCCGCGGUAAUAAU